GCCUACGGGGGGCAGCAGUGAGGAAUAUUGGUCAAUGGGCGGGAGCCUGAACCAGCCAAGCCGCGUGAAGGAAGAAGGCGCCAGGCGUCGUAAACUUCUUUUGUCGGGGAACAAAGGGCGCCACGCGUGGCAUUGUGAGUGUACCCGAAGAAAAAGCAUCGGCUAACUCCGUGCCAGCAGCCGCGGUAAUACGGAGGAUGCGAGCGUUAUCCGGAAUGAUUGGGCGUAAAGGGUGCGCAGGCGGCAUGUCAAGUCUGAAGUGAAAGGUACGGGCUUAACCUGUACAGGCUUUGGAAACUGGCAUG
rnacentral:rRNA from 1 species